UACGAAGGGGGGCUAGCGUUGUUCGGAAUUACUGGGCGUAAAGGGUGCGUAGGCGGCGCGGUAAGUCGGGUGUGAAAUCUCGGAGCUUAACUCCGAAACUGCAUUCGAUACUGCCGUGCUUGAGGACUGGAGGAGGAGACUGGAAUUUACGGUGUAGCGGUGAAAUGCGUAGAUAUCGUAAGGAAGACCAGUGGCGAAGGCGGGUCUCUGGACAGUUCCUGACGCUGAGGCACGAAGGCCAGGGGAGCAAACGGG
rnacentral:rRNA from 1 species